rnacentral:rRNA from 1 species
UACGGAGGGAGCUAGCGUUGUUCGGAAUUACUGGGCGUAAAGCGCGCGUAGGCGGCUUUGUAAGUUAGAGGUGAAAGCCCGGAGCUCAACUCCGGAACUGCCUUUAAAACUGCAUCGCUUGAAUCCAGGAGAGGUGAGUGGAAUUCCGAGUGUAGAGGUGAAAUUUGUAGAUAUUGGGAAGAACACCGGUGGCGAAGGCGGCUCACUGGCUCGUAUCUGACGCUCAGGCGCGACAGCGUGGGGAUCAAACAGG